UCCAAGUUAGCAGUUUUUGCAAAACAAUCCGUCACGCAAAUAAAACAGUCCACGCGAGAUACACGCGAAGCGGCAAAUCAGCUUCUAAGUGGCUUCAAACAAGUCUAGGUUUGUUUAUAAUGAGUUAGCCUUCCAGUUAUUGUAGAGUUCACUGUGGGGGACAGAUUUUUCGCUGAGUGGCGCUUCUGUUACGUAUCUAUUCUGUGUUCAGACGGAAUUGAAUUAUACAUACGAGCCGGCGAUAUUAAUAACUAGCCGGCUAAAAUGUACGUACGCUGAAGUUAUACACAUACUUUUAUACUCGUAAUUUUGAUGACGCUCAAGUCAACUUCAACAUGGCUGCCGUGAUGAGGAAGAGACAUAUGACUGUUGCAGAAGCUAUUGAAGCCUUUGAUGAAGUGAAUGAUGAAAUACCAUCUGGUAGUGAUGAUGAAAAUUUGAGUGAGAAUGAUGAUCUCCUGAAAAUCAGGAAUAAUUUUGAUUUUGGGGCUGAAAACCAUGUUGAAGAAGAUGAAUAUUCCUCAGAUAAUGAACCGAGCCCUUGUGAACGAAAAAGGAAAAAGAAACCUGAAAUUUAAUUUCUGUUAUAUGCAUGUGGCUACCUAACUAUAUUCAUUUCUUCAUUGGGACUUUUUCAAUUCUUCAGAAUUUGGAAUUGAAUAAAGAAAGACCUGCCAGAACACGUAAACUCUGACAACCUAUUUAUUCCCAAAGACCAGCUCUAAAUGCCAAAACCCCAUUUGAUAUGUUCAUUGCUCAUUGUGCUGAAGAGACAUUGAGCUGCUUGCUCUUGAAAGUAAUCGGUACCGACUGCAAGUUGGAAGGAGUCAUGCCAAGAUUGUAUCUGUAAAAGAAUGCGUAUCUUUGUUGGAAUUUUCUUUUACAUGAGUAUUGUUUCCUUGCCUGCCAAACACAUGUAUUUGUCACCAAAGACAAGAGUAACAGCUGUUGCAAAUCUAAUAACCUUUAACAGGUUUGAAAAAAUUUUGUCUUUAUUGUAUUCAGACGACUAUGAACUAAUGAAGAACAGAGGCGAACCAGGUGAUGAUCGACUUCACAAAGUCAGAUCGCUGAUGAAUAUUAUUUCUGCAUCCUUUGAAAAUUGUGCUGAACCUGAAUUAGUUGUAGCAGUGGAUGAACAAAUAGUUCCAUUUAAGGGCCACUACAGCUUAAAAAUUUACAGGAAUAAGAAGCCGAAGAAGUGGGGCUACAAAAUAUGGGUCUUGGGAGAAGUCUGUAUAUGUUCACAAGUUUUAUGUUGCAGGAGGCAGUACAGUGGAAACACACAAUGCUGAUCUUGGCAAAGCUAUUGAAUUGCUUGCAGAGCUUCACAGACUGAACAUUCAUGCCACCUCCACUCUUCGUGCAGACAGAAAAAGAAAGUGCCCUCUCAAAUGCAAAAGAGACGUUGAGAAGGAGGCGCAUGUGAUUACAGACUUGAGCAGAAUGAUGGAAUUUAUCUACUUGGUAUGCACUUUAUAACACAUAGUAAAAUUAUUAAAUGGCCAAAAUUUUGACUGGAAUGACUUUACUAACACAAAUUAAGUCUACAUAUUAAUUUUCAGCAGACAAAAAUUAUUUCGUCAUGUGUCAUGCAAUAAAAAAGGGAUAUACACAUAUCUUUCGUCUCUUGUUCCGACAUGUUGAACUAUUCAUGAUUACCCAAACUGCCAGUUAUACGUCUGCAAUUUUUGUUUAAUUUAUCUAUGAUCAAUACCCAGAUCAUGACUUUCAUAGCAUUAUAAUAGUUUAUUUCUUUAGCAAUCUUUGUUAUUACAGUUAGUGGACUGAGAAAAAUUGAAUAGCAAGGUCAACUCAGAGGCCUGCCACGCUACUUGUACUGAUUGCAUUGUACAUAACAUAUAUCUCGUAUUUACGACACGUCUGUUUCUAGUUUUGGGCAAAAAGGCCGUACUGGUAUGCUUUUUUCAAUAACAUUUCAAAAAGUUUAUAU